UACGGAGGGGGCUAGCGUUGUUCGGAAUUACUGGGCGUAAAGCGCACGUAGGCGGCGAUCUAAGUCAGAGGUGAAAGCCCGGGGCUCAACCCCGGAAUAGCCUUUGAGACUGGAUUGCUAGAAUCCGGGAGAGGUGAGUGGAAUUCCGAGUGUAGAGGUGAAAUUCGUAGAUAUUCGCAAGAACACCAGUGGCGAAGGCGGCUCACUGGCCCGAUACUGACGCUGAGGCACGAAAGCGUGGGGAGCAAACAGG
rnacentral:rRNA from 1 species